AUUGAACGCUGGCGGCAUGCCUUACACAUGCAAAUCGAACGGUAACGGGCCUUCGGGUGCCGACGAGUGGCGAACGGGUGAGUAAUACAUCGGAACGUGCCCGAUCGUGGGGGAUAACGAGGCGAAAGCUUUGCUAAUACCGCAUACGAUCUACGGAUGAAAGCAGGGGACCGCAAGGCCUUGCGGGGACGGAGCGGCCGAUGGCAGAUUAGGUAGUUGGUGGGAUAAAAGCUUACCAAGCCGACGAUCUGUAGCUGGUCUGAGAGGAUGAUCAGCCACACUGGGACUGAGACACGGCCCAGACUCCUACGGGAGGCAGCAGUGGGGAAUUUUGGACAAUGGGCGCAAGCCUGAUCCAGCCAUGCCGCGUGCAGGAUGAAGGCCUUCGGGUUGUAAACUGAUUUUGUACGGAACGAAAAGCCUUCUUUUAAUACAGGAGGGUCAUGACGGUACCGUAAGAAUAAGCACCGGCUAACUACGUG
rnacentral:rRNA from 1 species